GUAGGUGAACCUGCGGAAGGAUCAUUAUUGAAUAAACCUGGUGGGUUGUCGCUGGCUCCUUGGAGCAUGUGCACGCUCAUCAUUUUUAUCCAUCCACCUGUGCACACUUUGUAGUCUUGGGAUAGUAAGGGGGACUGUGUUCUGUCGGGUGCAAGCCCGGAUGUGAGGACUGCUGUGCACACACUGUAUGGCUUUACCUCUGCACACACCUUCUUUCUGCCUAGGUCUAUGUGGUUUCAUACACCCCAAU
rnacentral:misc_RNA from 1 species